AUGGUGAGGUCAACUGCAACCUCCAGCAAACCACAAGAACCUGCUAAGAGACCCAGAAGAGGUGCAGCCUUAACUAGGACUUACAGAGAGCUGCCUAGUGAUGACAGCCUGUCUGAACCAGAGAACGUUCCCACUCCAAAGAAAUGUUCUGUGGCGAAAAGGAGGAAAAACAAGGAGUCCACUUCAGAGGUGCCUCAUCUAAAGAAGAAAACAAACAUCUUUACAGACCAACCUGAACAUUCAGACAAGAGGGGGAGGAGCAGCAGCAGGAGCAGCAUCAGCAGCAGGAAAUCAGAUUUUAAAAAACAACCUGCUCUAAAGCUCAGUUCUGAAGAUGACCUUCAGAUUUCUUCUGGACCAAAACAGAAAACUGCCAAUCCUGUUCAGAAACAGAGAAGGCCUUUCAAAGACUCCUCGAGUCCCUCCAAGAACUCCUCCCCUGUUUCUGUUGAGAAGAUGAGAUCUGCAGAGGGGUCAGCCUCAACCGUGAAUUUGGCCUGCUCCACUGUCCUCACCCCACAGGGGUCCCCAGUCCCUGUCAGCCCCAUGCUUCUCUGCCAGGGCGCCCCCUCGUCCAUCCUGCUGCUACGCAAACCUUGCUCCACAGUCAGCAGUAAAGGAAAAGGCAGGACAUCUUUGCACAGUUCAGAGAAGAACUUCAGUUUAUCCAAACUUCACUUGGUGAGGUCCGAGUCCACUCCCUGUUCACGGAAACAUGAAAUCGCUGCGUCCCGACCUCUCAAUGGACCCGAAACACCAGAGGAACAUCCACCGCUAAAACCUCGGCCUACAUUUUAUCCGUCCACUCAGCCUCUGUUAACCUCAACUCUACUUCAGCAAAAAAUCCCACCCGUGACUUCUACCCCUCAGUCGCCUUACCCGAAAGACAGCCCAGGUUUGGUAUGUCAUCUGGACUUCAGAAAAGUGUCAACAGAAUCCCUGGAUUCCCUAAGCCAGUCGUCCGCUAAGUCAGCGGAAAUCAGCAAUAGAAGCUUCAAGGAGAGCCCCAAUGUUCCAGUGAUGGUCCCCCUCGAAAGAGAGGUGAAGCUUUUUAUUUUGUUAUUACUAAAUAAAUUAAAAACAUGCUUCAAUGCUCUUUCAUUCUUCUACUAUAACAGCAAACACCCCUGACAGCUCAGGACCUGGAUGUUUCACAGCCUUUUAUUUCAGGUAAAACAUCAAAUGUAAAAUAUCUGUUCUUGCUUGAAGUGGGGGCAGGGCCAGAAGAUCCUUGUUUCUACUACUGAAAGACACACCUUAGUCCUCUCUGUACCCAAACAAACAAAGCUGAGAGCAGGUUUGGAUUGUGUAAAGAAAUAUAAUACUUUUAUCUAUUUCAUCCAUGAUAGAAAAUGUGUUUUUAGUUAAUAAAAUAUGAAAUAUGUUUACCCUUCCCAUUUCGACAACAAUGUAGUUGUUGAAGUUCUGUCUUAUUCUUCUUUGAGCAUUUCAGAUACUUCACCGCAUUUUUUUUAGAUAUGAUUUAAUGUCUAUUUCUUGUUUUUAAACCUAUUUAUGGAUGCAACAUGUCCUAAUAUUAUCUUGCAAAAAAUGUUGCUUGCAGUGAAGACAAAUGCUGUUCUAAAACAUGAGACCAGUACGCUGUUUCCAGUUUUUACUGAUAUUUGCAGUCCAGAUGCAGUGGCUGUUUGUUUCAUAGCUGCACAUACAGACACGCA
ensembl:lncRNA